rnacentral:rRNA from 1 species
GACGAACCGUCCAAACGUUAUUCGGAAUCACUGGGCUUAAAGGGUGCGUAGGCGGCGCGGAAAGUUGGGUGUGAAAUCCCUCGGCUUAACCGAGGAACUGCGCCCAAAACUACCGUGCUUGAGGGAGAUAGAGGUGAGCGGAACUUAGGGUGGAGCGGUGAAAUGCGUUGAUAUCCUAAGGAACACCGGUGGCGAAAGCGGCUCACUGGAUCUCUUCUGACGCUGAGGCACGAAAGCUAGGGUAGCGAACGGG